rfam:Hordeum vulgare subsp. vulgare, WGS project CAJW01000000 data, contig: morex_contig_60333
AUACUACUCCCUCCGUCCAGAAUUACUUGUCGCACAAAUUACUACAAAUUGAUGUACCUAGAACUAAAAUACAUCUAGAUACAUCCAUUCCGAUGACAAGUAUUUCCGGACGGAGGGAGUAGUAC